UACGAAGGGAGCUAGCGUUGUUCGGAAUCACUGGGCGUAAAGCGCACGUAGGCGGAUGUGUCAGUCAGGGGUGAAAUCCCGGAGCUCAACUUCGGAACUGCCUUUGAUACAGCACAUCUGGAGUCCGGAAGAGGUGGGUGGAAUUCCUAGUGUAGAGGUGAAAUUCGUAGAUAUUAGGAAGAACACCAGUGGCGAAGGCGGCUCACUGGCCCGAUACUGACGCUGAGGCACGAAAGCGUGGGGAGCAAACAGG
rnacentral:rRNA from 1 species